rnacentral:rRNA from 1 species
AUGACUCCGCCGCCGCAGCCGCAGCCGCAGCCGAGCCAUGACUCGCUGCCGGCGCUGCCCGAUGACCUCAUCGUCGAGAUCCUCCUCCGACUGCCGCCUGACGAGCCGGAGUAUCUCUUCCGCGCCUCCCUCGUCUGCAAGCUCUGGGGCAACCUCCUCUCCGGCCGCGCCUUCCGCCGCCGCUACCGCGAAUUCCAUCAAGCACUUCCCGUGCUGGGAUUCUUUCGUAACCUGUCCGGCCUAGCCCGCUUCGUCCCCACUACGGCAUUCCGCCCUCCCGACUCCGGCAAAAGCUUCGCCUUCGAUUGCCGCCAUGGCCGCGUCCUCCUGAGCGACCGCAGCUUCCCGGAUUCCUUUACCCUCUGGGACCCCAUGACCAACGAGAAGCAGCGCGUGCGCCACCCCGCCAUCCGGGGGAGUUGCUACAACGCGGGGGUGUUCUGCGCCACGCCCGGCUGCGACCACUUUGACUGCCAUGGGGGUCCUUUCCUGGUGGCCUUCGUCGGCACGGACCCCGACGACGACGGCGCGCGCGCCUGCCUCUACUCUUCAGAGACCGGUGUGUGGAGCUCGCCGUCCUAUGUUGAGUUCGGUUAUGAGCUCGAUUCCUAUGUCGACUCGAUGCCCCCCGUCAUGGUGGGAGACGCUCUCUACUUCACCUGUGGGACCGGCAGCCUGAUCCUGCGCUACAACUUGGCCGGCGAUCGGGGCCUAUCAGUGAUCGAUGCCAUGGACGUUUACGAGGGUGGGGAUAACCAGGAUGGGGGUGGCGUUGUCAUCAUGCCAGUGGAAAAUGGUGGACUUGGGCUCGCUGUCCUUAACAUGUUCACCCUCUACCUGUGGGUGCUGAAGACGGGUCCUGGCAGAGCCGCGCGGUGGAAAAAAAGUGGGGUCAUCAAGCUCGAUAUGCUCUCCAUUGGCGACCCAAGGCACUCACUGUGUCUGCUGUCCGCCUUUGCCAAGGGCCGCGCUUCCGAUGUCAUUUUCGUCAGCACGCAUGCUGGUGUCUUCAUGAUCGAGCUCAAGUCGGAGCAAGUGACCAAGGUGUGCGAGAAGGGAUUGUUCAAUGUCUUUCCUUACAUGAGCUUCUGUACUCCAGGUCGUGCUAAUGGGAGAUUGCCAUCUCCAGCGACAACCCAGUGA